rnacentral:rRNA from 1 species
CGCGUAGGCGGUAUAUUAAGUCAGGUGUGAAAGCCCUGGGCUCAACCCAGGAACUGCGCUUGAUACUGGUAUGCUUGAAUUCGGUAGAGGUUGGUGGAAUUCCCAGUGUAGAGGUGAAAUUCGUAGAGAUUGGGAAGAACAUCCGUGGCGAAGGCGGCCAACUGGACCGACAUUGACGCUGAGGCGCGAAAGCGUGGGGAGCAAACA